AGAGUUUGAUCCUGGCUCAGGAUGAACGCUGGCGGCGUGCUUAACACAUGCAAGUCGAACGGACCCAUAUUGAAACCUGGUGAGUAUAUGGGUUAGUCGGCGACGGGUGAGUAACGCGUGGGUAACCUGCUUACACAGGGGAUAACACUUAGAAAUAGGUGCUAAACCGCAUAAGCGCACAGCUUCGCAUGAAGCGGUGUGAAAAACUCCGGUGGUGUAAGAUGGACCCGCGUCUGAUUAGCUUGUUGGCGGGGUAACGGCCCACCAAGGCGACGAUCAGUAGCCGGCCUGAGAGGGCGGACGGCCACAUUGGGACUGAGACACGGCCCAGACUCCUACGGGAGGCAGCAGUGGGGAAUAUUGCACAAUGGGGGAAACCCCGAUGCAGCGACGCCGCGUGAGUGAAGAAGUAAUUCGUUACGUAAAGCUCUAUCAGCAGGGAAGAAAAUGACGGUACCUGAGUAAGAAGCCCCGGCUAACUACGUG
rnacentral:rRNA from 1 species